rnacentral:rRNA from 1 species
AACGAACGCUGGCGGCGCGCCUAAUACAUGCAAGUCGAGCGAGAAGACGUAGCAAUACGUUUGUAAAGCGGCGAACGGGUGAGGAAUGCAUGGGUAACCUACCCUCGAGUGGGGAAUAACUAGCCGAAAGGUUAGCUAAUACCGCGUACGCUCCUUGGACUUCGGUUCAGGGAGGAAAGCGAUACCGUGGGUAUCGCGCUCUUGGAUGGGCUCAUGUCCUAUCAGCUUGUUGGUGAGGUAACGG